UAUAUAUAUAUAUACACACACACACACACUCACACGCACGCAUGCACUCACACAGAAUAUAGUCUCUUUUAUUUCCAUUCACUAGCGUAGAGUAAUAUGGAGAUCACAGUAAUAUCUGCCCAAGGCCUCAAAAACACAUCUUCAGGCCCUUUCUCCCACCGUCUCCGACCCUUCAUCAAUCACAACUUACCCAUCAAUUACCUCCUGUAACGGUGAUAAGAAGGGUGGAAUUUACAGUACAAGGAUUGAUGAUCAAGGAGGAAUGAAUCCCACCUGGGGUGAUAAGUUUUUUGUCCCUAUAGACACUGCCUUCCUUGCUAAUAGAUACUCUUGUAUAUACCUUGAACUCUAUACCAAAAGGCUCGUUAUGGGAAGGGUUCUAUUGGGUUGGUGCCAGAUUCCAGUCACCGAUAUUGGAUUCCGACCGGAGGGUUCAGUUAUGCACCUGAGUUACAGGAUACGGGCUAGAGAUGGUACAAGAGGGCAAGGAAUUGUCAAUCUUGCGAUGAAGUUAACUGGUUUUCCAUUGGCAGGCAGUCAAAUGUUAUCAGAUUCAAAUCAUCAAAAAGCUCCUCAAACUAGUCACACGGUGAUUGGCAUUCCGGUGACAGUCUUUUC
rnacentral:misc_RNA from 1 species